GCCACGCCCGAAGUCGUUACCCUAACCGCAAGGAGGGGGAUGCCGAAGGCAGGGCUGAUGACUGGGGUGAAGUCGUAACAAGGUAGCCGUACCGGAAGGUGUGGCUGGAUCACCUCCUUUUAGGGAGACCUACUGCAUUCUCACCGCAACCCAAACAUUAAGCGGGAGAAUCAGAUAUCCCAAGGUCGUUACGAGACUAGACAAUUUCUGGCUUUCAAACUCUUUGUUCGGUUCAGCAUAUUAAAACACAGCACCUAACCUGAAGUCAUCUGUAUAGAGACCAGAAAGACUGCUGGAUUUUAGCCAGCGAAUGAACCUUGAAAACUGCAUAAAGAAAAGAAUCAAAGGGAAAACCUUUUAAAUCUGUAAAAGAAUUUAAAAGGCAUCCAAAAAAGAAGCCCAAAUUGUGGUCAAGCUACAAAGGGCUGACGGUGGAUACCUAGGCACACAGAGG
rnacentral:sRNA from 1 species